rnacentral:rRNA from 1 species
UACGAAGGUGGCGAAUGUUGCUCGGAUUCACUGGGCGUAAAGCGUCUGUAGGUGGCUUGUUAAGUUAGAGGUGAAAGCCCCGCGCUCAACGUGGGAACUGCCUUUAAAACUGGCGAGCUUGAGAGUAUCAGAGGAAGGCGGAAUAACUGGUGUAGAGGUAAAAUUCAUAGAUAUCAGUUGGAACAUCCAUGGCGAAGGCAGCUUUCUGGGGAUAUUUCUGACACUGAGAGACGACAGCGUGGGGGAGCAAAACAGG